GGACAGGUGGCCGAGCGGCUGAAGGCACACGCCUGGAGAGCGUGUAACCGGGUAACCGGUUCGUGGGUUCGAAUCCCACCCUGUCCG
rfam:Gemmatimonadetes bacterium RBG_16_66_8 RBG_16_scaffold_16765, whole genome shotgun sequence.